rnacentral:tRNA from 1 species
CGGCGAGUAGCGCAGCUUGGUAGCGCAACUGGUUUUGGACCAGUGGGUCGGAGGUUCGAAUCCUCUCUCGCCGACCA